UCCCCGUUACCGGGGCAGUCUAGCCAGAGAAAUCCAACUGACUAUAAGGGUUGCGCUCGUUGAUGGACUUAACCAAACAUCUCACGACACGAGCUGACGACGGCCAUGCAUCACCUGUCACUACGGCCCGAAGGCACAAUCUCCUUUCGGAGAUCUUGGUAGGAUGUCAAACCCUGGUAAGGUUCUUCGCUUAUCCUCGAAUUAAACAACACGCUCCACCGCUUGUGCGGGUCCCCGUCAAUUCCUUUAUGUUUUAGCCUUGCGGCCGUACUCCACAGGCGGGAUGCUUAACGCGUUAGCUUCGCUACUACCAGGGUCGAUACUGAUAACAGCUAGCAUCCAUCGUUUACGGCGUGGACUAC
rnacentral:misc_RNA from 1 species